AGGAAGUCGGAAAGCAGAUUUAAAUCACGUUUGAGCCAUUGCUUCUGUUUGCCGGUACUGUGAGAAAACGUCGUUACCGGAGAGGUCUCGAUGCUAAAACAAACUCUGGAGCUGCGUUUUGCCGUUAAUGAAGAGACCUGGAUACUAAAACAAACGCUGGAGCUGCUUUUUUGUCGAACAGGAGUGAGACUGAACGCCGAACACACAUGCGGCGCGAAGGUGUCACCAUGUCGUCCACGAUUGCAGAGAGUCUUCAUACAAUGAAGAAGUUCUUUGAAACCAAGACAGAGGCCUGCAGGGCUCAGACUUCAAUCAUUAAAUCACACAGAGAGGAGACAGACAUGAAGACAUUUCCAGAAGGUCUUCAGCUGCUGUCGUCUUCUCCUCCUGCAGAGACAAGAACACGUAUAUUUUUCCUUUUCUAAACUCUCUUUAUUCAUUUUUGAUACUCAAUUACAAUGAUUUAAACUAAACUUUGUACAACACAGUCAAUAUAACAUUUUAGUGUGUUUUCUAAAGUACAUAAAAAUAACAAAAUAAGAACCUACUGUAAUUAUUACAUAGUUAUCUCUCAAAUUUCAAAGCUAUGAGAGACAGUUAUUUUACGUUUGCUAAUAUUUAUUUUCAGAAAUUAUUUUUCAUGGCAUGUGGCAUUUUCUUGACAACAUACUAUUCUUUUUUUUAAUUUAUUUAUUUUUUUACAUUUUUAUGCCUUAAUACUGUGACGUGGCUUAAGACAAUCUUUGUUGUUGACACACAUUCACUUACAUCUCUACACAGUGUGGGUUAGGUAAGAUUUUGGUUUUUGUUAUUUCAAACUGCAAUAUCAGUACUCAAAUUGAAUCUAUUACUGUGUACAUAGUCUUGUUUAUAAUUUUUACACAUUGUUAUAUAUUAUUUUAAAUCUUGUUAAUAUCAUGCCUUUUCCUUUUUUUGCUGCUGCAACACUGAAUUUCCCCGCUGUGGGACUACUAAAACUUAAAUAAAUACUUCUGAACACUGAA